rnacentral:rRNA from 1 species
UGCCAGCCGCCGCGGUAAUACGGAGGGAUCUAGCGUUAUUCGGAAUUACUGGGCGUAAAGCGAGCGUAGGCUGAUUUGUAAGUUGGAUGUGAAAUCCCAGAGCUUAACUCUGGAACUGCAUCCAAAACUACAUUUCUUGAGUUUGGUAGAGGAGAGUGGAAUCCCUAGUGUAGAGGUGAAAUUCGUAGGUAUUAGGAGGAACACCAGUGGCGAAGGCGACUCACUGGAUCGAUACUGACGCUGAGGUGCGAAAGCGUGGGGAGCAAACAGGAUUAGAUA